UACGUAGGGCGCAAGCGUUGUCCGGAAUUAUUGGGCGUAAAGAGCUCGUAGGCGGUUUGUCGCGUCUGCUGUGAAAACCUAAGGCUCAACCUUGGGCUUGCAGUGGGUACGGGCAGACUAGAGUGCGGUAGGGGUGACUGGAAUUCCUGGUGUAGCGGUGAAAUGCGCAGAUAUCGGGAAGAACACCCAUGGCGAAGGCAGCUCUCUGGGACGGUACUGACGCUGAGACGCGAAAGCGUGGGGAGCGAACAGG
rnacentral:rRNA from 1 species